AGUGAACGCUGGCGGUAGGCCUAACACAUGCAAGUCGAACGGCAGCACAGUAAGAGCUUGCUCUUACGGGUGGCGCGUGGCGGACGGGUGAGGAAUACAUCGGAAUCUACUUUUUCGUGGGGGAAAACGUAGGGAAACUUACGCUAAUACCGCAUACGACCUACGGGUGAAAGCAGGGGAUCUUCGGACCUUGCGCGAUUGAAUGAGCAGAUGUCGGAUUAGCUAGUUGGCGGGGUAAAGGCCCACCAAGGCGACGAUCCGUAGCUGGUCUGAGAGGAUGAUCAGCCACACUGGAACUGAGACACGGUCCAGACUCCUACGGGAGGCAGCAGUGGGGAAUAUUGGACAAAGGGCGCAAGCCUGAUCCAGCCAUACCGCGUGGGUGAAGAAGGCCUUCGGGUUUUAAAGCCCUUUUGUUGGGAAAGAAAAGCAGCAGGUUAAUACCCCGCUGUUCUGACGGUACCCAAAGAAUAAGCACCGGCUAACUUCGUG
rnacentral:rRNA from 1 species